CAAUGGGCGCAAGCCUGAUCCAGCCAUGCCGCGUGCGGGAAGAAGGCCUUCGGGUUGUAAACCGCUUUUGUCAGGGAAGAAAAGGUUCUGGCUAAUACCUGGGACUCAUGACGGUACCUGAAGAAUAAGCACCGGCUAACUCCGUGCCAGCAGCCGCGGUAAUACGUAGGGUGCGAGCGUUGUCCGGAAUUACUGGGCGUAAAGAGCUCGUAGGUGGUUUGUCGCGUCGUUUGUGUAAGCCCGCAGCUUAACUGCGGGACUGCAGGCGAUACGGGCAUAACUUGAGUGCUGUAGGGGAGACUGGAAUUCCUGGUGUAGCGGUGGAAUGCGCAGAUAUCAGGAGGAACACCGGUGGCGAAGGCGGAUCUCUGGG
rnacentral:rRNA from 1 species